CGGCCCGCAACCCGAAACGUCGCUUCCCCGGGGCCGCGAGCAGCGGACGUCGCGUGCCGCUUCCGGCGGAGUGCGUGAUGACGCAAGCGGCGUGCGCGGCGCCAGAGGCGGUAGCCAUGGCCGGCGGUUACCGUGGGACGGUUCUGCGAGGCGCCUGGGCUGUGGUUUUCAUCCGGGUCCAUCGGGAUUGCAGGCGGGCGGCAGAGUGCGGAGACUGGGGCAGCUGUCACUGGUGGUCCUGCCUGUGAUCCCGCAGGGGAGCCCCACCGGAGGAAGCACGUGAAGCGAGCCUGUGUUUGCCAGUGACGUGACGGCACGGACAACCCCCAGGUCUGGCAGCGCUUGGCGAAGCCGAAGUCGGACAGCUUGAUGUUGAAGUCCUUGUCGAGGAGCAGGUUCUCGCACUUGAGGUCGCGGUGGACGAUGUCCAGGUCAUGGCAGUACUUGAUGGCGGAGGAGAGCUGGUGGAACUUCUUGCGCGCGUCCUCCUCCUGCAGGGCCCCCCGGGUUUUGAUAAAGUCGAGGAGGUCGCCCUGGACCCCCAGCUCCAUGAUGAUGUAGACCUUGCCCUCGGACGUCUCGAAGAUCUCGGCUCCUCUCCUGUCUGAGUGAAGACAUGGGCACGCUGGCCUCUGCAGAGUGGCCGUCAGGAGACACUGGUGUGUGCGGGAGCCUCGUGUUCCUUCGGUUCUGGGUGUCUCGCGGACGUCGGAGCUAGAAGAGGGUUCCCUUCGGGGCGUGAGGCUGGCCCCUCCGUCCUGGCGGUCAGAUGCAGUGGAUGCCGACGCUGGACGCCCAGCGAGGGGCGGCAGGAUUUAAAUCCAGGCCCUCACUGCUCCCCUCUGCAAGAAGUCGCUUCCUGGUUCUGGGCUGGUAGUGGCUCCAGGCUGGCAUCUUCUCUGACCCCAGGUUUUGGCCCUGUGUCUUCCCUCUGGCAUCUGAAUGAGAACGGGGGGUUAAUAAACAGCUUUA